rnacentral:rRNA from 1 species
GCAAGUCGAACGGUCUCUUCGGAGGCAGUGGCAGACGGGUGAGUAACGCGUGGGAAUCUACCUGGCUCUACGGAACAACUCAGGGAAACUUGAGCUAAUACCGUAUACGCCCUUCGGGGGAAAGAUUUAUCGGAGUUGGAUGAGCCCGCGUCUGAUUAGCUAGUUGGUGGGGUAAUGGCCUACCAAGGCGACGAUCAGUAGCUGGUCUGAGAGGAUGAUCAGCCACACUGGGACUGAGACACGGCCCAGACUCCUACGGGAGGCAGCAGUGGGGAAUAUUGGACAAUGGGCGCAAGCCUGAUCCAGCCAUGCCGCGUGAGUGAUGAAGGCCCUAGGGUUGUAAAGCUCUUUCACCGGUGAAGAUAAUGACGGUAGCCGGAGAAGAAGCCCCGGCUAACUUCGUGCCAGCAGCCGCGGUAAUACGAAGGGGGCUAGCGUUGUUCGGAAUUACUGGGCGUAAAGCGCGCGUAGGCGGAUUGGUCAGUUAGGGGUGAAAUCCCAGGGCUCAACCCUGGAACUGCCUCUAAUACUUCCAGUCUAGAGUUCGAGAGAGGUGAGUGGAAUUCCGAGUGUAGAGGUGAAAUUCGUAGAUAUUCGGAGGAACACCAGUGGCGAAGGCGGCUCACUGGCUCGAUACUGACGCUGAGGUGC